GAUGAACGCUGGCGGCGUGCCUAAUACAUGCAAGUCGAGCGAACAGACGGGGAGCUUGCUCCUCUGACGUUAGCGGCGGACGGGUGAGUAACACGUGGAUAACCUACCUAUAAGACUGGGAUAACUUCGGGAAACCGGAGCUAAUACCGGAUAAUAUAUUGAACCGCAUGGUUCAAUAGUGAAAGACGGUUUUGCUGUCACUUAUAGAUGGAUCCGCGCCGCAUUAGCUAGUUGGUAAGGUAACGGCUUACCAAGGCAACGAUGCGUAGCCGACCUGAGAGGGUGAUCGGCCACACUGGAACUGAGACACGGUCCAGACUCCUACGGGAGGCAGCAGUAGGGAAUCUUCCGCAAAGGGCGAAAGCUUGACGGAGCAACGCCGCGUGAGUGAUGAAGGUCUUCGGAUCGUAAAACUCUGUUAUUAGGGAAGAACAAAUGUGUAAGUAACUAUGCACGUCUUGACGGUACCUAAUCAGAAAGCCACGGCUAACUACGUG
rnacentral:rRNA from 1 species